UACGUAGGGUGCGAGCGUUGUCCGGAAUUAUUGGGCGUAAAGAGCUUGUAGGCGGUUUGUCGCGUCUGCUGUGAAAAUCCGGGGCUCAACCCCGGACUUGCAGUGGGUACGGGCAGACUAGAGUGUGGUAGGGGAGACUGGAAUUCCUGGUGUAGCGGUGAAAUGCGCAGAUAUCGGGAGGAACACCGGUGGCGAAGGCGGUUCUCUGGGCCUGACCUGACGCUGAGGAGCGAAAGCGUGGGGAGCGAACAGG
rnacentral:rRNA from 1 species